CUCAAAUUUAAAAUCUGGCGGUCUCUGGCCGUCCGAGUUGUAAUCUAGAGAAGUAAUGCCCGUGCUGGACCGUGUACAAGUCUCCUGGAAUGGGGCGUCAUAGAGGGUGAGAAUCCCGUCUCUGACACGGACUACCAGUGCGUUGUGGUAUGCUCUCAAAGAGUCGAGUUGUUUGGGAAUGCAGCUCAAAAUGGGUGGUAAAUUCCAUCUAAAGCUAAAUAUUGGCGAGAGACCGAUAGCGAACAAGUACCGUGAGGGAAAGAUGAAAAGAACUUUGGAAAGAGAGUUAAACAGUACGUGAAAUUGCUGAAAGGGAAACGCUUGAAGUCAGUCGCGUUGGCCAGGGAUCAGCCUCGCUCUUGCGUGGUGUACUUUCUGGUUGACGGGUCAGCAUCAAUUUUGACCGCUGGAAAAGGUCCUGGGGAAUGUGGCAGCUCCGGCUGUGUUAUAGCCCCUGGUCACAUACAGCGGUUGGGAUUGAGGAACUCAGCACGCCGCAAGGCCGGGUUUUUAACCACGUUCGUGCUUAGGAUGCUGGCAUAAUGGCUUUAAGCGACCCGUCUUGAAACACGGACCAAGGAGUCUAACAUGCCUGCGAGUGUUUGGGUGGAAAACCCAAGCGCGCAAUGAAAGUGAAAGUUGAGAUCCCUGUCGUGGGGAGCAUCGACGCCCGGACCAGAACUUUUGGGACGGAUCCGCGGUGGAGCAUGUAUGUUGGGACGCGAAAGAUGGUGAACUAUGCCUGAAUAGGGUGAAGCCAGAGGAAACUCUGGUGGAGGCUCGUACCGGUUCUGACGUGCAAAUCGAUC
rnacentral:rRNA from 1 species